rnacentral:rRNA from 1 species
UACGUAGGGUGCGAGCGUUGUCCGGAAUUAUUGGGCGUAAAGAGCUCGUAGGCGGUCUGUCGCGUCGGUCGUGAAAACUUGGGGCUUAACCCUGAGCUUGCGGUCGAUACGGGCAUGACUGGAGUGCGGAAGGGGCAACUGGAAUUCUCGGUGUAGCGGUGAAAUGCGUAGAUAUCGAGAGGAACACCUGCGGCGAAGGCGGGUUGCUGGGCCGACACUGACGCUGAUGCGCGAAGGCCAGGGGAGCGAACGGG